UCCUGGCUCAGAACGAACGCUGGCGGCGUGCUUAACACAUGCAAGUCGAACGCGAAAGGGGCUUCGGCCCUAAGUAGAGUGGCGCACGGGUGAGUAACGCGUAAGUGAUCUAUCCCUGUAUCUGGAAUAACUAUGGGAAACUGUAGCUAAUACCGGAUACGUUCAUGUGAUUGCGAUUAUGUGAAGAAAGAUGGCCUCUGACAUAAGCUAUCGUACAGGGAGGAGCUUGCGUACCAUUAGCUAGUUGGCAGGGUAAAGGCCUACCAAGGCGACGAUGGUUAGCGGGUCUGAGAGGAUGAUCCGCCACACUGGAACUGAAACACGGACCAGACUCCUACGGGAGGCAGCAGUGAGGAAUAUUGCGCAAUGGGGGCAACCCUGACGCAGCGACGCCGCGUGGAUGAUGAAGGCCUUCGGGUCGUAAAAUCCUGUCGGAUGGAAAGAAGUGUGAUGUGGUUAAUACCCAUGUCAUUUGACGGUACCAUCAGAGGAAGCACCGGCUAACUCCGUGCCAGCAGCCGCGGUAAU
rnacentral:rRNA from 1 species